rnacentral:rRNA from 1 species
CCUACGGGUGGCAGCAGUGGGGAAUAUUGGACAAUGGGCGAAAGCCUGAUCCAGCCAUGCCGCGUGUGUGAAGAAGGCCUUCGGGUUGUAAAGCACUUUCAGUGGGGAAGAAAGCCUUGGGGCUAAUACCCUCGAGGAAGGACAUCACCCACAGAAGAAGCACCGGCUAACUCCGUGCCAGCAGCCGCGGUAAUACGGAGGGUGCGAGCGUUAAUCGGAAUUACUGGGCGUAAAGCGCGCGUAGGCGGUCUGAUAAGCCGGUUGUGAAGGCCCCGGGCUCAACCUGGGAACGGCAUCCGGAACUGUCAGGCUAGAGUGCAGGAGAGGAAGGUAGAAUUCCCGGUGUAGCGGUGAAAUGCGUAGAGAUCGGGAGGAAUACCAGUGGCGAAGGCGGCCUUCUGGACUGACACUGACGCUGAGGUGCGAAAGCGUGGGUAGCAAACAGGAUUAGAUACCCUAGUAGUC